AACGUAGGUGGCAAGCGUUAUCCGGAUUUACUGGGCGUAAAGCGUGUGCAGGCGGGGGUACAAGUGGUGUAUGAAAUUUCCCAGCUUAACUGGGAAGGGUUAUGCCAGACUGUACUUCUGGAGUGCGAGAGAGGGGCGUGGAAUUCCGGGUGUAGUGGUGAAAUGCGUAGAGAUCCGGAGGAACCCCAGAGGCGAAGGCGGCGCCCUGGCUCGCAACUGACGCUCAGACACGACAGCAUGGGGAGCAAACAGG
rnacentral:rRNA from 1 species